rnacentral:lncRNA from 1 species
AAAAUUCAUUUUCUCAUAGCACUGUACUUCCCUUCUUCAGAUUCUGACUUGGCCAGAAAGCGUGACAAGGAUCCUGAACAGCUUUGACUACAAAACUAAUGGUGAAAGAGUAGCUCAAGAGGUUGCUCAGAGUAAAGAGAAACAGCAAAUGGCAAGAGCUCUGGCUUUUCUCCAGAAGCAUCAUCAGGAAGGGGAUUUGCUUGUUGGUUUAAAGGAAGAGUCAGAAGCUGAGCUGAGAAACAUGCAGGCAGAAUUUAGACUGGAAAUUCACACACAGACGGAAGAAAAGGUACAUCAGCUGAAGCAUUUGUAUUUUCAUUUGCUAACAGAGAUACAAGCCAAAGAAAUGCAAGUGAUCCAAGGGACCGAAGGAGAAGAAUUAGGGAAUUUGGUGGCAUAUUUCAUCCUAUCUCAGAGACACAUGCGGCAAACAGUAGUAAUGGUACAAGAUUGCUACAGGCUCCAGAAGGCUACGCUGAGGUCCCAAAGGGAGGGCACUGGCCUGGAACAGCUUGCUGUAGAAGAGUUAUCAAUUGAUGAUGACCUGUGGGGCAUGUUGUAUCUGCUGAAGAACAACACAGAGUAUACGUUGUUAGUGCUUGAAUAUAUACAAGCUGUAAGAUUAUUACAGCUGAGGGAAGCACAGUUUAAGGAAAUAGGCAGAAGCCUAAAAGGCUACCUCCAGGAGAAGUUUUUGAGUGAAGCUAACAACAUAACCAAUGAACUGAAAAACUUCAGAGAGCAGAAAAUUAGAAGGCUGAAGGAUCAACUGAAACUCUUCCUGGGAAAUAAAAGAACAAAGAAUAUUUCAAGUAACUUUGAUCCAUUGCAGUGCUUGAUGAAUAUAUGCAGUGAAACAAAAGGGAAGGAUUUUCAUCCAGAUCUGGAAAAGCUGAGAAUGAGAUCUGAAGAGGAAAGAAAAGAGAUGCAGCAAACCAACAGUCCUCUGUUGUCCAUCACCAAAUCUUUCUGGAUUCCAGGGACACAUCAUAAGGCAGACGACGAGCUCUUAGAGUUCUUGACUGAGAGUAAGCUCAGUUUGUCAUAAGAAACUCAAGUGACUUAUCAUUCCUUUUUGAUGUUCAUACAUUUCCUGGAGGGCAUUAAUGCUUUGGAAAUGGGAAGAAUAGGGAAAAGGUGAGGUGGAACUCAGACAAUAGUUAACAGUAUAAGAUAAAGAAGGCUGUAUGUGUUUCUGAAAAGAAAACAUCUUUCUCCCAACUAACCAUCCUAGAAACUGAGCCAGCGUGAAGAGUUUACAUUAAAAAGGCAUUUUACAGUUAGGACUAUAUUAGCGUCCUCUCAAUUAAUGGAUAUUAUUGAAAUUUAAGUAUAAAUCUGGAUACUUACCUGGGUGAUUGUUUUUUCUGGCAAGAAUACAAUUCUUACCUAGAUAAUCUUUAUACAUCUUCAGAGCUGAAUUUCUUCCAUCCUUAGCGUUAAGCAGGUGUCUGGGGAUUCUCUUGAAACAUCUUUGAUAAGUAGCAGAAUUUCAUCCUUUUUGGACCGGAAAAAAAAAAAAAAGUUAUUGGCACCAGGUGAACUAUCACUUGUGAUCAUUUGCUUAGUCUUUAGGUUUUCCAGCACCUUCUCUAUGAAGCAAACAGCUAUUUAUUUACCCCUUAUCUUGAUGAAGUGGUAUGUAACACAAUCCUGGAAUUCAACUAAACACAAAGAAAUAAACCAAAAGAAAUCAGGGCUAGCUUAUGGAACAAGAGGAAUGGCUAGGAACAUCUGGAAUUAUCUACAGUUAUUAACUAGUGUAUACUACUCUCACAGACAUCAAGGUGCUGAAGCAGGCAGAACACCUGAUGGCAUCCAGAAUUAUUCUUCUGAAUCCACAGUUCACGACACCUCCUCUGUAUGGUAAAAACCUUAAAUCAUUUUAUUCACUACUACCCCAUAAAUGGAGCUACACAAAACAAUCUCACAAAACCCUUCUUUUCCCACUAACUGCCACCUUUCUGUUUGUAUAACAACAAAUUGCGUGAGCUACACGUGAUAUCUGCAUAAGCAGCUUGCCUACAUCUGUGAAGUAGCAACAGUGUGGUGCUUAUGAUAAACCAAAGAUUGUACUUAAAGCACUUUGACAAAUGUUGCAUUCAUUAGCUAAAAAUGGUUUAGAGAUGGAUUGUUUAAGAAAGCAGCAUUUCUGUAUUUCUUUACACAGGUGGUAAAAAAACUAAGUAUCUAGAAACCUCUUUUCUUCUUGGUCUUCUGAAAGAUGUCAAUGAUGAGCUCCAAAGUCAUGCGGCAGCAACUGGAUUACUACAAAGCCAAAGGCUGGGCAAAAGUAAACCUCAACUCUGCUCAUUCUUACAAGAAAUGUCAGAAGGUGAAUGUAAUGUAAUGAUUUGGGUUUCAUCAUUCAUUUUGUUGUUUUUAUUGUGAUAAGAUUUUACUGAA